AAAAAAAGGAAGCAAAGAAAGAGUGAGGAUUUUGAGUCAUUAUUGUUGAUUCUGCCCCCUGUUGCCGCGCAGCUGUCAUCUAACAUCGGCAAAGCAAAUUAUUUACAAUUUAAAAAAAAACAGCAGCCUUUAACUUUUUAUCAUUUCCUCCCUCGUGGCAACAGUGAGACUUAUCUGGACACAGACUGGUACACCCGCCGGGAGCCAGGGCGCCAGGUCUGGAGGGGGUGGUGGUGGUGGUGGUGGUGGUGGUGGGGAGGAGCUGGGUCGGGGGAAGGGAGCACAGCCAGCCUGGCGGAGCACUGACACCCCUGCCAGAGGGUGUGAUUCUUGCCACCAGGCUCACAGGCUGUGCUGGGUGGGCAAAGGUUCCCAGUCCGCGGUGGGUCCCGUCUCCUGCAGGCGGAGCGGGGAAGGCUGGGCGCCGCGUGCGCGCACGCGCCCCGACACACGCGCCCCCGCAGGCACACGUCCUCCCCCCGGCUGUGUGGCGUCUCCCUUUUGUUUUUCUCCCUUCCCGGUCAUGAGACCCGGAAGUUUUCUUCUUCUUCUUCUCCCUCUCUUUUUUACUCCUGUCUCUGUCUCUCUCUCUAGUCCCCCCACACUCCCUCCCCCCCAUCUAUCACAUGGCAGAGAUAGAAUAAAAACAGAAAAAUGGCGACGGUCACGUUGUGGCGAGCCUUGCUGCGUCAUUAGCUAAUCCGCAUGCAAAUAGCGGGAAGAACAAAGGAAAGGGGGGCCGGGGAGCCCCUCCAGGGGCGCAGGGUGCUGGCGUGGGUCCCUCGCCGUUCGGCGGCCACUGUAAAUAGAGCCUGGAGGUUGUUUACAUGAAAGAUCCGGCGGGAGGAGUCUGCUAGGAGGAGGCGGAGGAGGAGGAGGAGAGAGGAAGACCGGAGUCCCCGCGGCGGCGGCGGAGGAGGAGGAGGCGGCGGCGGGCCGGGGUGAGGGCGAGCCGGGCGCGGUGCCCAGGGACCGGGCGCCACCAGGAACCCCGGCUGCCGGACCCUGGGCUACCCGAGUGCCUUGCCAGCUGCCACCUUCUUGGAGAAAGACCACACCUAUGCUUAGUCCCGCUGUGGAGGACAGCUGACAGCCAAAAGGGAGACAGGGAAGGAAGAUGGGAAGUGAGCAUUCUCUCUAGGCUUCCUGCAGAUGAACAUCCCUACAGCUGCUGGUGACGACCCUUCUAGAAGAGCUAAGUUUCCAUUCUGUGACAUCACCACCUAAGCCCUUCCAACUUUAGCUUCAGAACAGGAAGAAGGCUCAAAAUAGAACUACCUUAGGAAUCCAGCUCUUUAGAAGAUCAACUUUUAGAUCAACUUCAGUAGAAAUCCUGAACUUUGACACUGGGAGAAGAAAAAGAAAAAAAAAAAAAAAAAAAAACAACUGUAGCAUUUGUAAUUGGUUGCUUUAGGGUGAGGUUGGGCAGUAUUUCCCUGUGUUUUCAGAAAAGCUUUAUUCAAGAUAAGUUCAAUAUGUAGACCCAUAAAUAAUUAAUAGCAUGGUUUGAGAUUCAUGUAUUGCACUAUUCAUAUUUCGGUAUGUCAACCAUACAAGCAUUAUUUUUAAUGAAUCCGAGAGGGGGCUUCUGGUAUGUACUCUGUAGAGGCGCCUAUAAAGAGUUUCCGGGGUCAGGUGCCAAAGGGGAAUCCUUGGAAGAAGGUCAAGGACCUGAAAAUGCAGUGACAGCUUUGCAGAUGUGGAACUUAAUGAUGCUUCUCUUAUAGACAGUGACUAAGUUUUGCACAGUGACUGGUACCCAGAACAAAGAAGUAGAGGUGUCCAAACUCUUUGCCUUUACCUAGGAAAUUAAUCUCCUGUCUUUGAAUCUCCAUGGCUUAGUUCUUUCCCUCAAUUGAGACAUGCCUUCCUCAACUUAAAAGUUGUUCCAGGGGCCUGGUGGUGGCAUACCUGUUUGAAUGCACUUGUUACAAUGUGCAAAGACCCGUGUUCAAGCCCCCUGGUCCCCAACCUGCAGGGGGAAAGCUUCUCAAGUGGUGAAGUAGUGCUGCAGGUGUCUCUCUGUCCCUCCAUUCCUCUCGAAUUCUGGUGGGUGUCUGUAUCCAAUAAGUAAAGAUGAAAACAGUUUUUAAUCUGGCUCAGGUUUAAAAGAAUCCAGGUGAAACAACUGUUUGCAUAUCUGUGUAAGUGCAGUAGCCGCUGCCUACAGGGAAUAUGAAGCAUCUGAAAUCUGGCUAGGGUGAUGUAGAACUGAGUUAAAAAUUAUGUGCAAUUUAUUCAAUGAAUUUGGUUUUUGGAAAAGACAAGUUUGGAAGCAGCCAGGGCAUAUUCAUAUACUUUUUUUUUUAAAGAAUAUUUUAUUUACUUCAUUUUUUUUUAACUUUAGUUUUAAAUGAGAGGCAGAUAUAGAGGAAGACAGAGAUAGAGACAGACCAGGGCACUGCUCAGCUCUGGCUUAUCGUGGUGCUGAGGAUUGAACCGGAGACCUAGAACUCACUGUUUUUUGGUCAUGAUUUUUUUUUUCCAGAAGCGGUGACUACAUUUCUCCUUGACUAAUUCUCUCCUUUGCCCUGCUGUGCUCAACAAGGAGACUUGGGGUCCCCAGGAGUGAGAGCUAGGAUUGACCGCUUGGCAUGUUUCUAUGCAGGUGACGUGCCCUACUUAGGGAAGGGAAAUCAAAAUCGAGGAGGGGUAGUAGGAGUGUUACAGGACAAUGUAAGUGUCCGCAUACCCGACAGGCUGCUUUUGUAGAAGCCAAAACCUAUCACAGAAAGUCCGUUACAGGACAGUGUAAGCGUCCGCAUACCUGACAAGCUGCUUUUGUAGAAGCCAAAACCUAUCACAGAAAGUCCGUGGUUCAGUAGCAGCUGUGACACCUGCUGGGCGUCCUGGUUCCGCCCACUGCUCACUUGGGUUUAUUUUCUCUUUGUCUCCUUCAUGUGCUCUGAAUCACAAUUCUGAGGCAGAUCACUGGACCCAUCAGUCUGUUGAUCCUGUUCCUUUCCAAAAAAUAAAACGAAGCUGACUUGAGUAGAGAUAGCGGUGUCUUUGCAUUACUUUGGUCUAAUGAUGUUUAGUAGUGGAAGGGAAUUUAAGACCAUUUUAUAAAUGACGGCUGUCAGGUACUUUCUCAAACACCAUGUUGUAGACAGAGGCUGGGAUCAAACACAGACUUGUUCACAAGCUAUUUUGAGAAUUCCUGGUGGGGGGGGUGGAAAUGAAGAGGGUUAUCAGUUAACCAAUCAAAUAUUUGUUGAGCUUGUCUUUUUUUGGAAAGGACUGGGGUUCCUAUUUAAUGAUUGGUAUAGAAAAACAGGAAGAAGACAGUUUGAUUGUAAGAACAGGACUGUUGUUUUGAGAAAAUGAUUCGUAAAGUCUUCCAAAUUCAAUGACAGUAGGUGAUGUAGUGAGUGCCUAAAAGAUACAGAGCUGUUGUGGUAUGAGUUAAAAACAGAAAUGUGUUCAUUUCAUAGAGCACUAGAAACUGAGAAUAAGUCAUUUCUGCAGAAAAGAGGAGUGUGAUUGUGUUUCUGGAGCCAGCCCAAGACUCUAGAAUCAGAGUAAUGCUCAGCUCUGGCUUAUAGAGAUGUAGGGAAUUGAACCUGUGACCUCGGAGCCUCAGGUAUGAAAACCUUUUGCAUCAUGCUUUCUUCUCAACCCUGGCUACCUACAGUUAUAUAAUAGAUACCAAAUCAUUGUAUUUUCCUCUGAGUAGGUUGGAGGGAUAGGAUGUAGUUUUUGUUGCUUGCAUUUGUUUAGUUUUUUUUUAAUAUUUAUUUACUUAUUCCCUUUUGUUGCCCUUGUUUGUUGAAGUUACUAUUAUUGUCAUCGUUGUUGGAUAGGACAGAGAGAAAUGGACAGAGGAGGGGAAGACAGAGAGGGGGAGAGAAAGACAGACACCUGCAGACCUGCUUCACCACCUGUGAAGCGACUCCCCUGCAGGUGGGGAGCCGGGGCCUUGAACCGGGAUCCAUAGGCUGAUCCUUGAGCUUUGCGCCACGUGCG